CGCGCGUGCAGUGUAUUUUCUGUUUUGUUUUGCUUUUGUUUGUACAGGAAGUAGCUUGAAAUUCUAUAUACUUUUGAAGGCCAAGGCUGCACAAUCAUAGACUCUACUAUGGACCAUGGACUGGCUGACGUGGAAAUGGCCUUCAGUCAACAUACAGCAAGAAGAAGCUGCCAGAAGAGAUAGAGAGACCAGCAAGACACAGACAGAAAAAGAUGAUGCCGUGCCUUCCUAGAGCGAUAAAAGCGAGGUCCUGCACCUUUCAAUGCAUUGGCUCCUUGGGAGAAUCCUAGAAAUGCACACAGUUCUGGGCUGGCACUGUUAUUUGAUUAGGGAGUUCUAAAGAAAAUCUUUGGGCAGUUUAAAGAGAAAAAAAAAAAAAAAGCAGUAUAUUUCUCAUGGAGAAAAAUGCUUUGCCCAUGAUUGGCCACUCAUGGCAGUAAACCCAACCUGCGCAGAACAUAGCAUAAUGACCUUCAUUUAUUUAUUUAUUUUUCAGUCUGGAAAAACUUAAUGCAUAUGCACUAUGAUUUUUUUGUUGUUGUUGUUGUCUAUUUUCUUUGUGACAC